AGGUGCUUGCACCUUUCAAGUGAGUGGCGAACGGGUGAGUAACACGUGGGCAACCUGCCUCAAGGCUGGGGAUAACAUUUGGAAACAGAUGCUAAUACCGAAUAAAACUUAGUGUCGCAUGACAUAAAGUUAAAAGGCGCUUCGGCGUCACCUAGAGAUGGAUCCGCGGUGCAUUAGUUAGUUGGUGGGGUAAAGGCCUACCAAGACAAUGAUGCAUAGCCGAGUUGAGAGACUGAUCGGCCACAUUGGGACUGAGACACGGCCCAAACUCCUACGGGAGGCUGCAGUAGGGAAUCUUCCACAAUGGGCGAAAGCCUGAUGGAGCAACGCCGCGUGUGUGAUGAAGGCUUUCGGGUCGUAAAGCACUGUUGUAUGGGAAGAACAGCUAGAAUAGGAAAUGAUUUUAGUUUGACGGUACCAUACCAGAAAGGGACGGCUAAAUACGUGCCAGCAGCCGCGGUAAUACGUAUGUCCCGAGCGUUAUCCGGAUUUAUUGGGCGUAAAGCGAGCGCAGACGGUUUAUUAAGUCUGAUGUGAAAGCCCGGAGCUCAACUCCGGAAUGGCAUUGGAAACUGGUUAACUUGAGUGCAGUAGAGGUAAGUGGAACUCCAUGUGUAGCGGUGGAAUGCGUAGAUAUAUGGAAGAACACCAGUGGCGAAGGCGGCUUACUGGACUGCAACUGACGUUGAGGCUCGAAAGUGUGGGUAGCAAACAGGAUUAGAUACCCUGGUAGUCCACGCCGUAAACGAUGAGUGCUAGAUGUAGGGAGCUAUAAGUUCUCUGUAUCGCAGCUAACGCAAUAAGCACUCCGCCUGGGGAGUACGACCGCAAGGUUGAAACUCAAAGGAAUUGACGGGGGCCCGCACAAGCGGUGGAGCAUGUGGUUUAAUUCGAAGCAACGCGAAGAACCUUACCAGGUCUUGACAUACUCGUGCUAUUCCUAGAGAUAGGAAGUUCCUUCGGGACACGGGAUACAGGUGGUGCAUGGUUGUCGUCAGCUCGUGUCGUGAGAUGUUGGGUUAAGUCCCGCAACGAGCGCAACCCCUAUUGUUAGUUGCCAUCAUUAAGUUGGGCACUCUAACGAGACUGCCGGUGAUAAACCGGAGGAAGGUGGGGAUGACGUCAAAUCAUCAUGCCCCUUAUGACCUGGGCUACACACGUGCUACAAUGGAUGGUACAACGAGUCGCGAGACAGUGAUGUUUAGCUAAUCUCUUAAAACCAUUCUCAGUUCGGAUUGUAGGCUGCAACUCGCCUACAUGAAGUCGGAAUCGCUAGUAAUCGCGGAUCAGCACGCCGCGGUGAAUACGUUCCCGGGCCUUGUACACACCGCCCGUCACACCACGGGAGUUGGGAGUACCCGAAGUAGGUUGCCUAACCGCAAGGAGGGCGCUUCCUAAGGUAAGACCGAUGACUGGGGUGAAG
rnacentral:rRNA from 1 species